rnacentral:rRNA from 1 species
GGAUAACAUACCGAAAGGUAUGCUAAUACGGGAUAAUAUAUUUGAGAGGCAUCUCUUAAAUAUCAAAGGUGAGCCAGUACAGGAUGGACCCGCGUCUGAUUAGCUAGUUGGUAAGGUAACGGCUUACCAAGGCGACGAUCAGUAGCCGACCUGAGAGGGUGAUCGGCCACAUUGGAACUGAGACACGGUCCAAACUCCUACGGGAGGCAGCAGUGGGGAAUAUUGCACAAUGGGCGAAAGCCUGAUGCAGCGACGCCGCGUGAGUGAUGAAGGCCUUCGGGUCGUAAAACUCUGUCCUCAAGGAAGAUAAUGACGGUACUUGAGGAGGAAGCCCCGGCUAACUACGUGCCAGCAGCCGCGGUAAUACGUAGGGGGCUAGCGUUAUCCGGAUUUACUGGGCGUAAAGGGUGCGUAGGCGGUCUUUCAAGUCAGGAGUGAAAGGCUACGGCUCAACCGUAGUAAGCUCUUGAAACUGGGAGACUUGAGUGCAGGAGAGGAGAGUGGAAUUCCUAGUGUAGCGGUGAAAUGCGUAGAUAUUAGGAGGAACACCAGUUGCGAAGGCGGCUCUCUGGACUGUAACUGACGCUGAGGCACGAAAGCGUGGGGAGCAAACAGGAUUAGAUACCCUGGUAGUCCACGCUGUAAACGAUGAGUACUAGGUGUCGGGGGUUACCCCCCUCGGUGCCGCAG